rnacentral:pre_miRNA from 1 species
UCUAACAUUUAAUCAUUCGUUUUAUUUGAAACUAUUUUGCGAUUAAUAUUUUUAUUAUUACUAGAUAAUAAAAUAUGAAUAUUACUUUAUACGUGACUAAUUUUUUUAGAUUUUUGUAUAAUUUUUUUAAAUAAGGUAAAUGGUCAAACACAGUUAAAUAUGGAAAAAC